rnacentral:rRNA from 1 species
GACGAACGCUGGCGGCGCGCUUAACACAUGCAAGUCGAGCGAGAACCAGGGCUUCGGCCCUGGGGACAGCGGCGAACGGGUGAGUAACACGUGGGUAAUCCACCCUCGGCACCGGAAUAGCCCGGGGAAACCCGGAUUAAUGCCGGAUGGCCCGCCGGCCCUGCGGGGCUGGCGGAAAAGGUAGCUUCGGCCUCCGGCCGAGGACGAGCCCGCGACGGAUUAGCUGGGUGGGGGGGUAACGGCCUACCAAGGCUGCGAUCCGUAGCUGGUCUGAGAGGACGAUCAGCCACACUGGGACUGAGACACGGCCCAGACUCCUACGGGAGGCAGCAGUGGGGAAUCUUGCGCAAUGGGCGAAAGCCUGACGCAGCGACGCCGCGUGAGGGAAGAAGGCCUUCGGGUUGUAAACCUCUUUCAGGAGGGACGAAGCCACUCGGGUUAAUAGCCCAGAGGGUGACGGUACCUCCAGAAGAAGCCCCGGCUAACUACGUGCCAGCCGCCGCAGUAA